rnacentral:lncRNA from 1 species
AAGGAGAGCAACACUUGAGGGAAAUAUCUACUCAAUAAAGACGGAGAUUCUUCUCAUCAACAGCUGAGGAAAAAUCCAGUUGCCAUAAAGGGUAAAAGAGACAUCCUCUUAAUAUGAAUGAAGAUGACCAGAGUUCAGCAGGUUUGUAGUUCUAAUGAGUCCGAUCUUCCUGCACUGGAUGGCAACUGGCUUAUUGGUAUGCAGAUGUUUCUUGGGCAUAUUUUGGUCUCAGCAGACCCUAGAAAGAGCUUAAUGAUUUCUGUCCCCAGGGUUGUCUGUAUUAACCUUACGAAAAGGCACAUACGGAAGGAAAACUCUUAGCACUGACAUGGAACCCUUAAGUUAAAAUUUUUUUUUUUCCCCCUGAGUUGGAGGAAUAAUAUUCUUCGGUAUUCUCUUUUCUUGGAACUGGGGGUUCUUAGUGGAAUACAAAGUAACCUAUGCCAUAGAUAAUUCUAUCAUUAGACCUAGGAUUCACUUUUACAUCCCUAGGGUAAUUGGAUCUGAUUCUUUGGUCUUCAUAGUCCUUUGAAUUAGAAUGAUACUCUAGCAACCCUGUAGGAUUGUGUAUUGUAUGUGUUGGAACUGAUAAAAGGGAUUGUUAUUAACAUUUGGGAAGACUGUCCAAAGAGCUGCACUAACGGUGUUUUCAACAAACCUACAUUUCUAGACAUUUAAAAAUUCUCUUUGAAGAGACUUGAAAUGAUCUCUGAGUUCAUUCUUUACUAUUGACAUGGACUCAGGUGUAGGUUCAUGACACAAAACCUUAAAGCCCAUUUUUAUUUUGUCCUCUCUUGACCAAUGAAAUGCUCCAUUUGGUAGUUCUUGCAACUACUGUCCUUGACAAUCAGCAGGGAGGAACAAGGCUCCUUGCUGAGUCUGUGUCUUGCAUAAAAUUAUUGAUGUAUUGAAUAAGUUAUCUAAAACAGCAGGUUUCUUAAUGUCAAGUUGAGCAGUUUUAAAUUCCUGCCUGGAAUGUAACACCAAUUUGUGCACCUACUAUUUUGAUUGUUUUAUCUCCAAAUGGCCUUAACUUGAUGUUAGGCAUCUGUACUGCAUUUCAAUUUUGUUGGAAGCAGCAUCCUGUGCUCCUUAUAAUACCUGUGCUUGCAUAGCAAUUUAUAAUUUGUGAUACAUUUUUCCAUAUAUUUUCUAACUUAAUCCUCACAAUGUGCCUAUGUGAAGGGUGGUUUUAACCUCAUUUUUUAAGAUGAGGAAACUGAGGCUCAGGGAAUAUAUUGAUGUAUUCACAAUGAUUUAUUUAGCAAAAACAGAAGUUGAACUUGAAGGUACAAGCCCUUUGUAGAAUAUGAGCUCCCGCUUUUUGUUGCAGUUCUUUUGCUAUAAACUUUAAUUUGUUUAUGCAAAAUCUGAGAUAUUGCUUUAAAUAUCUGCAGCUAGAUUUGGCUGCAGUGAGCAGAGUUUUGUAUGUCUGCUGAACAUUAAAAUAUACUGAGGCAGUAAGAAGCUUUUUUUUUCCUAGAUAAUUAUCACAAGGAAGAUUUUCUUAGUGGGCUCUAAUGCUAAUGCUCUUCUGAGACUGGGGUGCCUCAGUACUCAAAUGCUCACACUGCAUCAUUCUCCCUGGAGAUUUGGUGCUGUUAAGAAUGUGUUUCAUUCUCUUCAGGUCCAAUGACAUGCCUUGUUUCUGUAGUGAAAAAUAAUCAUCAUCAAAAUAUUUGAGUGCUAUUUCAACUGAAUAUCACUUUUUAACAUCAGCCUACAAACAAAACAUUGAAUAUUAAACUAUAGUUACAGAACAGAAUGUGAAUGCUAUAAACCCUGUGAAGUGAAAGUAAUGGUCAAGUUGACAGAAGUCAGGAGGUAGGAAUAGAUGGUAGGCAGGAGAUGUGAUGUAGGGUGGGGCUGUAAUCUCUUCAUCUAAUGUAAUGGAUGGUCAAGAGAGAAAAUUAAAAGCUAAUGAAAUAACAUAUGAAGGCUUAGAGAUCUUAUUUAAAGUUAUAAAGUUAAGCAGUAGAAAAACUAAAAAUAAUAGUGCUAAUAACACCUGUUGGGGAGGGAAAGGGAGAAAAUAUAAUUAAGGUAAUUUUCUCAGCUUUUGUAUCACUGAGUCAAAAAGUUAAUAUCUAUAAUUGAGAAAUCAUGAAAGAGACAUUGGACAUAUUUAUGACCACCAAUGACUAAACUGUGACUCCAAAGAGUAGCAGAACUCAGAAUGGGGAGUACGACAGAAAACUUUCCUUUUUUAAAUAUUCUGUAUAAUUUGAUUUUUAAAUAAUGGAUAUUAGUGUUUUUAAAUUUUAAUCAGUGGGACUUUGCUAUUUCAUUUCUGCCAUAGACUGGUUGGUAUAUCAUGAAAACCCCAUGACUGUCUGAGCUGACAGAUGGACAAGGCAGGCCAGGCUUUGAAUAGACUGGGGAUUUGUGACUGAACCCUACAUGGACUGACUGGCUGAGCCAGCAGACUCAGCAGAGACCCCAGUCAUUAGAUGUUGCCUGAGCCAUGCGGUAGUAACAAUAUGACACAUCCACAGCCUGGACCAGGUGUCAGUAGAACACCUGUUAGUUGUGAUUUCGCCAAUAACUGGUUGUGUUACUGGGCAAGUUUGAGGCCUCAGUCUCCUCCUCAAUGAUCGUAAGCGUUCAAUUCUAGACUUCCUCUAACACUGACUUUCUGUUUUUCUAUUAUUCUCCUUGUCUUAUUUUUAUUUGUAAGAUAUGUAUAGUUAUAAAUCUUUUGAACCUAGAAUCACAACCCUGGGUACAUGAUCUAAGAGGCUACUUCAGAAUAAUAUCUUCUCUCUAGGAAUGAUCUUUGUGUUACCCAACAGCCAUCAAUCAUGGUUAUGUCCUGAGUACUGUUAAUCUGACUUAAGAAUGUGUUAGUUUAUCACUAAUAGAUUUCUUAAUUAAAUUACUGAAAUGGUUCAAAAGAGUUCAAGCUUUUGGGAAUAGGAUUUAAAGCACAUUCUCUUCCAUCAGUUUUUACAAUUUGAGCUACUUAUUACUGAUUUAAGGUGUUUUCUGAAUGUGUUGUUAAAUUUCCUUAAAGCAAGCAGGAAGUUAAAACUUUACAGAGAGCUCAGUUUCAUUGCUUGAUCAUAUGUGGCAAAGUAGCUUUGCUUUACCCUGUAUUUGAAUUGAUCCAGUCACAUUUUCCUCUAACUUUUUUCCUGUCAUCAGUUGAUAUUUUCAGUAAUAAAUUUAAUACAUAAGAAGGUGAAAAAUGAGUUAACAUUUUUCCAUGUUGUUUCUUUGCUUCUAGGUAAUCAAGUAAUCAAGUCUUAGAUCAAUUCUUUGAGAGUUUGCACUAAGAUGAGGAAAGCCAAGCCCAGUGAGAACGAUGUGAUGUAUAUCAGGAGACUUAUUUUCCCCUAAGUUUAUUGGGUCUUUUGAAGUUUUAUUAGGUUUGCAAGGUUGCUUACUGCAGUGACUUGGGAGAUACAAGCUGGCCAGAGUACCUUUCCAGAUAAUAAAAGACUGCAUUGCUUGGGUUUUUGACUGCAACUUGGGUUGCUGAAAACUGUCCUGCUCAUUCACUGAGUGACGCUGGUUUCAUUCCAGCAAUUCUAGUUGAAUGGGCAUUGGUGUGUACGUCAUUUAACUGCUCUUUUCUUGGUAUUUUGUCUCCCUUGAUACUUAGCUUCCCAGAGAGCCAACUCCUAGUAGAUCUUCAGACUGAAAUGUCAGCUGGGGCCAGAGUAUGAGAGGCCUACUGGAAAGCCCUAAACCAUUCAGAACAUGGGGCUGAAGAGGACAGAGGUCAGGUCAGAGGAGGCGGGCCAAGGUUGAAAAAUGGUUCUACAGGGAACAGGAGUGGAAAAUGGAUUAAGGUGAAGGAGGGGGUAAGAACCAGUACAAAUAACUGUGUGCUAAGCCAUUUAUAUACAGUAACACUCACAGUAACACUCUAAGUUAGAUAUUAAAAGUGCUACACCUAGAUCUGGGGAGAGUAAUUUGCCCAAGAUCACGCAGUUAAGUAUUGAAGUCAAUAUUUGAACUCAGUUCUGUCUGAAUCCAAAGCUCUUACUCAAUUCUGUUUUAUCAUUCUGCCUCCCAUUGGAGACAGGCAACUGGGUGUUUAAUAAAACACUCCUGUGUACUGAGAUGCAGGUUGCAAAUAUGAGUUGGUUUUUUUCCCAAAGACAUGUAAUCUCACUCAUGCUUACAUAGCUGCCUGUACAACUUGCAGCAUCAAGCCUCCAUUUGCAAGCAAGAAACAUGGUCUGGGUUGGAAUGCCUGGAUGGGACUGUGAAGCAGGCUGAGAAGGGAUAACUUCAAUUCCCUUCUACCCCAUUACAAAGCUUAUCUUUAUAGCACAAGAAAUACUUGCUUCUCUGGAGACUAAGGAUGCUUUGUUCCUAUUUUCUUCUUCAUUUUAAAAAUGAAAUGAAAAUAUCCCAUUAAAGGGAAGUUCCUUAUUUCUAACUGUUGAAUGCCAUGGUACUUAAUUUCAGCUUGUUAAAUUUAGGGUCUUGAAACAAAAUCCCACACAUAAAUGUUCUCUGGGCCCAUGGCAUUUCCAUUUGAUUGUGAAUUGGAUUAAUUUUUAUGUAUCUUAAGCUCUUGCCUCUCAUUCCUUUUUGUUUUGAGAUACUUAAACAAAUGUUGACGGUUAUGGUUGGCUUAAUAAGCUGCCUCAGUUAUGUAAAUGAUUUCUGUUAGUUAUGUUAUUGCUAGUUGAAGAUAGCUUUAAGUUUUCUGGCAUAUUUUUGGGACUUACUAGUAAAGCAUUACUGAUACCUUUUAACAUUCUUUUGCUUCUUCAGGCAUCAAGUUGACCUUUUUUCUAGCUCCCUUUAGCCCUACACUUCCUUUUUGAAUCUACUGUUUGCUUGACAUGAAAAAUGAACUUACAAAAUUAUAGACCCAGUGGCCUUUUCUUAGUCUUCAUUCUUCUUGGCCGCUCUGCUGCAGUUGACACUACUGCCUCCUCCUUUUUCUUGAAAUGUCUUUCUCCUUUGGCUUCCAUGACACUCUAUUUCCUGGUUCUUUCUCUCCCCUCUGACUUUACUUUCUGCUCUUCAUCCUCUCUACAAUCUUUACUACAGACUCGUGCUUUAUAGUGCUGAAAGUGAUGAUAAUUGUGUGGCACGUGGGGGUUCCCAGAUGAGGCUGCCUGAUUCUGAAGGUGAUGGGAAUGUGGUCUGAGGAUAGCAAUCUCUUGGCACACCUGUAACCCAAUGGGGCACAUCCAUGUGCUUCUGCAUACUGAUUGGGAGUUUUGUUCUAUGCAUUGCAGGGAGCUGAGUUACCUCCAGAUCAUAGUAAAUACGGGAUAAGAAAAUCAAGGUACAGGCAAAUAGUGGGAAAAACCAUGAUGAAGCACUAGAGAUCAUAACGGCAGAAAGUCCAUAAAGUUUAAAGAGAGGUCAGGGAAAAAGCAUUCCGUAGAUGCAAGAAACAGCAAGGAUUCACACACAGGAGUUCUAACAAGGGCUUAGGGACAUCUGUGACAGUGGUCAGAGAUCAGAAACAGAAAUUAAUAACCCAAACUUUCAUUUGAACUUGGCUGGAGCCCAGGAGGAUAUCAAGAUAUGGCUGAGCACCAGAAAUCAGAGCACAGGUGACUGUUCCUUAAGAAUGGCCCAUCUACAGGUGUCUGUGAUGACUGUGCUGAGCUGUGAGAGCAGGCAUGGUAGACAAUGGAGUGAAGAGCUUAGAAUGCAGGUGAGAUUCAUUCCAAGUAAACCAAACUCAAGAUGACUGGCUGCAGCUAGGCCAGGAAGCUUCUUUAUCAUCACAUUACCUCUUGGGGACUAUUAUUUACUUCCAAGUCUAAAGUGAUGGUUUUCUGCCCUGACGUUUUAUCCAAAUUUUGGUUGGCUAGAAACUGAACUAGAGAUCUUGUCACCUCAAGUUCCAAGAGCCAAAUACCUUUCAUGUCUGAACGCUAGUUCCACUUUCUACUUCUUGGUCUCUUCAUCAAUCUCCUAGGCUCAAAGUCUUGUAGACAUCGUUGACUUGUGUCUCUUUGGUCCCCCAUCAUCACUCAGUCAUUUUCUGGAGAAUGUCUCACAUUGAUCCUCUUCUUUUCCCUAGUUCAGACCCAUCUCUCUUAUGUCCAAGUCUCUUCACACCUUCUUCCUCUCUGGUCUCACUGCCUCUAGUUCCAUUUCUCUCUGAAGUAUCUAACACUGACUAGUGUUUGGGAAACUCAGAUUUCAUUAUCUCAUUCCUUGACCAAAAGUGGAUUCAGGGAUUGCCCGUGUCUCCUUUUUAAGUAAAAACAUCUUUGGGCAGGGCGCAGUGGCUCACGUCUGUAAUCCCAGC